GGGCACACCCGUAGACCUUGCCUGAUUCUGCCUAUAGUCAGGCAGGGAGCACAGUGUGUGCUAGAGGAAAUGGAGCUUCUGUGAGUUAUGGCCAGCACCACCAGAGGCUGGCUGCAUUGCAUUAUCCUAACAUUU
rnacentral:snoRNA from 1 species